CACACCGCCCGUCACACCAUGGGAGUUUGUUGCACCAGAAGCAGGUAGCUUAACCUCCGGGAGGGCGCUUGCCACGGUGUGGCCGAUGACUGGGGUG
rnacentral:rRNA from 1 species